GUGGAUUAGAUACCCUGGUAGUCCACGCCGUAAACGAUGGGUGCUAGGUGUGGGGGGUGUCGACUCCCUCCGUGCCGCAGCUAACGCAUUAAGCACCCCGCCUGGGGAGUACGGCCGCAAGGCUAAAACUCAAAGGAAUUGACGGGGGCCCGCACAAGCAGCGGAGCAUGUUGUUUAAUUCGACGCAACGCGAAGAACCUUACCUGGGCUUGACAUGCACGGGAAUGUCGUGGAAACACGGCAGCCCUUCGGGGCUCGUGCACAGGUGUUGCAUGGCCGUCGUCAGCU
rnacentral:rRNA from 1 species